UGGGGUUUAGCUCAGUGGUUAGAGCACCCGUCAAUUGGUUGUUGGUUCGAUUCCAGCAACCUCCA
rfam:Pristionchus pacificus strain PS312 contig7231, whole genome shotgun sequence.